CAACGCGAAGAACCUUACCAGGCCUUGACAUGCAGAGAACUUUCCAGAGAUGGAUUGGUGCCUUCGGGAACUCUGACACAGGUGCUGCAUGGCUGUCGUCAGCUCGUGUCGUGAGAUGUUGGGUUAAGUCCCGUAACGAGCGCAACCCUUGCCUUAGUUACCAGCACGUUAUGGUGGGCACUCUAAGGAGACUGCCGGUGACAAACCGGAGGAAGGUGGGGAUGAUGUCAAGUCAUCAUGGCCCUUACGGCCUGGGCUACACACGUGCUACAAUGGUCGAUACAAAGGGUUGCCAAGCCGCGAGGUGGAGCUAAUCCCAUAAAACCGAUCGUAGUCCGGAUCGCAGUCUGCAACUCGACUGCGUGAAGUCGGAAUCGCUAGUAAUCGUGAAUCAGAAUGUCACGGUGAAUACGUUCCCGGGCCUU
rnacentral:rRNA from 1 species